rnacentral:rRNA from 1 species
UACGUAGGGUGCAAGCGUUGUCCGGAAUUAUUGGGCGUAAAGAGCUCGUAGGUGGCCUGUCGCGUCGGCUGUGAAAACUCGGGGCUCAACCUCAGGCCUGCAGUCGAUACGGGCGGACUUGAGUACUGCAGGGGAGACUGGAAUUCCUGGUGUAGCGGUGAAAUGCGCAGAUAUCAGGAGGAACACCGGUGGCGAAGGCGGGUCUCUGGGCAGUAACUGACGCUGAGGAGCGAAAGCGUGGGGAGCGAACAGG